rnacentral:misc_RNA from 1 species
UCUCCGUAGGUGAACCUGCGGAGGGAUCAUUACAGAGUUCUCGCCCUCACGGGUAGAUCUCCCACCCAAUGUUAUCGUUACACUGUUUCUUUGGCGGGCCGCCGGGCCCUGCUCGGCCGCCGGCUCCGGCUGUCGCGCGCCCGCCAGAGGCCCUUUAAACCCUGAAUGUCGGUGUCGUCUGAGUACUCUACAAUAGUUCAAACUUUCAACAACGGAUCUCUUGGUUCUG